rnacentral:rRNA from 1 species
AUGAGCGGUGACAGCGACUACCCGGCGAUGAGGCGCGUCCGAUCGCCGAGGCGCCACCGCCGUCGGUGGCGGAGCGAUCUCAGCGAAGACGAGGAAGAACCACAUCGUCGCCGUAGCAGCGGACGUAGCAGCAGCAGUAGCGAUAGUAGCAGCAGCAGCAACAGCCGCCGGCGUUCGCGAAGAAGCUACCGGAGCAGAAGCAGGAGCCCGAGUCCGAGACGCAGCCGUAGCAGAAGCCGAAGCAGGAGCCGGAGCCGGAGCCAUGGUGCCGCAGCUGACAACGAGUUCACCGUGCGGAUCGACAACUACGACGAGCUCUUCAACUGCGCCUUGUGCCACGGCCUUCUCUCCUCUCCCGUCUACGAGUGCGGCGACGGGCACCUGACCUGCCACCGUUGUUACGAUCUGGCCCUCAUGCCGUGCAUCCGCUGCGGCUCCAAGGACUACACCCGCAGCCGCGCCGUCGCCACGAUGGUCCGGUCCGUCCGCUUCGCGUGCCGCAACCGCGAGCACGGCUGCGCUGCGUCCCUGCCGCGGCUCGGCGUGGAGGACCACGAGCGCUCCUGCCGGUACGACCCCUGCUUCUGCCCCGUCUGCAAACGCGCCUUCGUCCCCGGCGCCGACCCCGACGCGCUCCAGGAGCACCUCACCGGACGCCACGCGUGGCACCUCCACUACCUCACCUACGGCGAGGAGGUCUUGGUGGACGUGGACCCGCACCGUCACGCCCUCCUCCGCGCUGACGACGGCGAGCUGUUCCACCUGGACCUCAGCCGCGUGCGGAGAACGCACGCUGACGAGGACGGCACGUCGAUCUCGGUGAUCCGCAUGCGGCCCGACAACGCGGUGGGGGCAGAGGCGGAGUUCUCGUACGAGGUGAAGCCACCGGGCGCGGUGUGGCGGAUGAAGGCGCCCGUGUGGAGCUCCUCGCUGCGCCGAGGGAUGGAGGAUGGGAAUAGGAUCUUUGUCACCGUGCCGGAGGCCGGGCGGCACUGGCACCUCGUCAACGUGUGCAUCUGGAGGCUGCCCGCACGGAGCUAA